rnacentral:miRNA from 1 species
UGGUAUAUAUGUGUGUGG